GAUGAACGCUAGCUACAGGCUUAACACAUGCAAGUCGAGGGACCGGCGCACGGGUGAGUCACACGUAUCCAACCUGCCCUUUACUCGGGGAUAGCCUUUCGAAAGACAGAUUAAUCCCCGAUAUAAAGGAUGGGGAUGCGUUCGAUUAGUUUGUUGGUGAGGUAACGGCAAACCAAGCCUUCGUUGGAUAGGGGUUCGGAUAGGAAGGUCCCCCAGAAUGGAACUGAGACACGGUCCAAACUCCUAGGGGAGGCAGCAGUGAGGAAGAUUGGGGAAUGGGCGGUAGCCUGAACCAGCCAAGUAGCGGGAAGGAUGAAGGCUUAUGGGUCGUAAACUUCUUGUAUAGAAGAAUAUGUAUUAUAUGAAUAAGGAUCGGCUAACUCCGUGCCAGCAGCCGCGGUAAUAC
rnacentral:rRNA from 1 species